CAAGCCCUGGAAACGGGGUCUAAUACCGGAUACCACCUUCACUGGCAUCUGUGAAGGUUGAAAGCUCCGGCGGUGAAGGAUGAGCCCGCGGCCUAUCAGCUUGUUGGUGAGGUAAUGGCUCACCAAGGCGACGACGGGUAGCCGGCCUGAGAGGGCGACCGGCCACACUGGGACUGAGACACGGCCCAGACUCCUACGGGAGGCAGCAGUGGGGAAUAUUGCACAAUGGGCGAAAGCCUGAUGCAGCGACGCCGCGUGAGGGAUGACGGCCUUCGGGUUGUAAACCUCUUUCAGCAGGGAAGAAGCGAAAGUGACGGUACCUGCAGAAGAAGCGCCGGCUAACUACGUGCCAGCAGCCGCGGUAAUACGUAGGGCGCAAGCGUUGUCCGGAAUUAUUGGGCGUAAAGAGCUCGUAGGCGGCUUGUCACGUCGGGUGUGAAAGCCCGGGGCUUAACCCCGGGUCUGCAUUCGAUACGGGCUAGCUAGAGUGUGGUAGGGGAGAUCGGAAUUCCUGGUGUAGCGGUGAAAUGCGCAGAUAUCAGGAGGAACACCGGUGGCGAAGGCGGAUCUCUGGGCCAUUACUGACGCUGAGGAGCGAAAGCGUGGGGAGCGAACAGGAUUAGAUACCCUGGUAGUCCACGCCGUAAACGGUGGGAACUAGGUGUUGGCGACA
rnacentral:rRNA from 1 species